AGAGUUUGAUCCUGGCUCAGGACGAACGCUGGCGGCGUGGAUUAGGCAUGCAAGUCGAACGGUAUCGGUUCCUUCGGGGAUCGAGAGAGUGGCGAACGGGUGAGUAACACGUAGGUUAUCUGCCCUCGAGAUCGGGACAACCCAGGGAAACUUGGGCUAAUACCGGAUGCGUGCUACUGUAGUGGUAGCAUAAAAGGUGGCAUUUGCUGCCGCUUGAGGAUGAGCCUGCGUCCUAUUAGUUAGUUGGUGAGGUAAUGGCUUACCAAGGCGAUGAUAGGUAGGCGGCCUUAACGGGUGGUCGCCCACACUGGGAUUGAGAUACGGCCCAGACUCCUACGGGAGGCAGCAGUCGAGAAUAGUCUACAAUGGUCGAAAGACUGAUAGUGCGACGCCGCGUGAACGAAGACGCCUUUCGGGGUGUAAAGUUCUUUUAUAUGUGAGCAAUGGGUGGUACAUUAAUAGUGUGCUAUCAGAGAUAUUAGCAUAUGAAUAAGCAACGGCUAACUCCGUGCCAGCAGCCGCGGUAACACGGGGGUUGCGAGCGUUGUCCGGAAUUACUAGGCGUAAAGGGCAGGUAGGCGGAGAUGUAAGUUUGAUGUUAAAGGUACUGGCUCACCCAGUGUACGGCAUCAGAUACUGCAUUUCUUGAAUACGGUUGGGGAAGACAGAAUUCCUGGUGUAGCGGUGGAAUGCGCAGAGAUCAGGAGGAAUACCGAAGGCGAAGGCAGUCUUCUAAGCCGGUUAUUGACGCUAAACUGCGAAGGUGUGGGUAUCAAACAGGAUUAGAUACCCUGGUAGUCCACACAGUAAACGAUAAUCACUAGGUGUCGGGUUCUUAACAAUGGAUUCGGUGCCGUAGCUAACGCGUUAAGUGAUUCGCCUGGGGAGUACGAUCGCAAGGUUGAAACUCAAAGGAAUUGACGGGGGCCCGCACAAGCGGUGGAGCAUGUGGUUUAAUUCGAGGCAACGCGAAGAACCUUACCCGGUCUUGACAU
rnacentral:rRNA from 1 species